AAGCACCAUGUAAUACAAGAUCUUCCUUGGAUUAUUUGUUUUAUGUGUGAUUUCUUGAUAAGAAACUCAGGCCCUGAGUUUUAGUGGUAGGUUGGGGCUGUGUCCUUGCAUACCCUUUUUCCUACACAUAUUUUACAUUGGGGCUUAUUUUUAUGAAAAGCUUUCAAAAUUUCAGAUGAAGUUCUUUCUUCCUAAGAAAGCAAGGUGAUUAUGAUACGCUUGAUCGGAGUAAGGGUCAAAUCAGAACAAUGGAGCAGGUGUCACACCGAAUACAUAUGAUGCUAAACUUACUGGGCCUUGGUUGCGGCAGUGAAGAUGUCACACUGAAUACAUAUGAUGGCCAACCUGCUGGGUUUUGGCUGCAGCAGUGUGCAACAAAGCCUACACCGAUAGAGAAAGAAGAGGCAUAUAAUGAAGGUCAUUGGAUAUUUGGUUCUUCGGAUCCUGUCAAUUAGACUGAAAGCCACGUUUGGAAUCAUCCAUUUAAGUCAACAAUGAGAGCCAACCUGCUGCUAAACGGUAUGUUCCUCUUUCCUGAGUAAGAAAAAUCAUAAUUUAUUUACAUGCACCAGUUGAUUGUAUCAGUUAACCCAAAAUUCUUAUUUUUGAGUUCAAGAAAAUAAAUGUGAUGUUUCCAAUUUGAUCGCGGAUGUUUUUAUCUUUGACACAGUUUUCUAAUACUCAUAUCGUCCUAUCUCCCUGUAGAAUUUACCCUAUCCAUAUCAGCAAGAAAUUUGAGCCAAAAUACCCCCCACCCCCCUUCUAGCCUUGCUCUAGUAUGGAAUUUCUAAAUAUUUAUAUGAAUCGUGGCAUGGUGGUUUGACACGGGAUUAUCAGUUUCUGAAUCCAAAUUUACUUAUGCAUCAAAAUCUUUGACAUGUACAGUCUAUAGCCUAUGCAAACCUCUGUUCAAUAUUACCAACAGUCUUGGACGGAAUAGUGGUAUAUCUGGAAACAUCAGUAAAUGCAAACUUGCGAGACGUCAAUAUCCAGGGUACCAAACACAAAACAUUAACAGCUAAGAACAGAAGUUAUGUAUCCGCAGUGCUUGAAGAGCAUCACAAAACAAGUUUUCUUCCCAUGUAAGCACCCACAUAUUAUUAUUGGUAUGGUCUAUAUGGACCUACUAUAGUAUGCAGUAAAAGGUUUAACAUCAUUACAAUAGUAUCAUGACGUGGAUGCUCCUGCCAGCAUUGCAGGCUGGCAAUGUGCCAUAGACACAGCUAUUUUUUUUAAUCGAAACGAGUGCAAGUAGUCAUAAGAGAUGCGUCAAACUUCCUACAAUAAUAGGGACAAUUCUAACUCAAAACAUUCAAACCUGAACCCCUGACUUGAAAGUUUUGCCAGCAUGUACUGAGAAUCCAAAACCACUGACACAGUCGCACACCUGUAAAAAUUUCAUGUCCAACACAUUACCAUCACCAGCACACAUCAAUAAUUAGUUUUAAUAUUUCUGAUGAUUCUGACAAAACAUACACAAAUUCAGGUUUCACUGGUUUGCUCAGAAGUAAAUAUAAAUAUGGUGGAGCAGUACACCCUGAUACACAUUUACUCCAAUAAAUAAAUAGAAUACAGAGGCAAGAAGUGAUUUCAUUUUUAUUCAAACAAAAUGUCCAGUGAUAUCACCCAGAGUAUCUAACAGGGCAACUAUGAAUUUCUGGGAAGCAAUAGCUUCUUAAAACCAAAAGUUAUGUAUGCCAACUGUGCAGUUAACAAAUAAGAAUUCAACAGUGGAAACUAACUUGAUGCAUUGAAAUUUACUGGCUAGCAAGACAACAUUCAAGAAACUUGACAACUGAAGUGCCCUUUUAGAAGAGAAACCCCAAAACAUGGUUCUUACCUAUUCUCAUCUUGCUUCCAUGCCUAAAAGUUACUAAAAUUACAACUGAAAACCUUGGAGAAGACACCUAGUUAUAGCAGCACAAUCAUAAAUAAGAAAACACGAAAAGGGUUACUUUACUGUCCAUACCCAGAAGCAACAAUACAUGAAGUCGAUAUGGUAGUUGGUAGAUACCUGUAUACAACACACAAUAGAGCAGGCAGUGAAUGAGGUGAAGGAGAUAUCGACGAUGUGGCAGACUGCCCUAUAGCUUCAGCCUAUCAAUUGGAGAGCAAUAGAGAUGAAAUUAAAAUACCUACAUCCAAGAAGAAGACAUGAACAAUACAAUUAUUUUGCUGAAGAGAAAA